rnacentral:rRNA from 1 species
CCGGCCCCCAGCGGCGCUCGCAAAGUUCGGAUCCGCAAGGACCGGGCCAGCGGGACGUCCGCGUGGCAGGGUGCACUUUCUCCGCGGUCGAGUGCUACGACCGGUUUCGAGGCGGUCAGAAGCCCGGCGGAAAGGUAGCGCCGCCCUUCGGGGUGUCGUGUUAUAGGCCGCCGCGGUGGACUCGCCGCGAGACCGAGGACGCUUGCCGCGCCGAGCGGUCCCGGGCCGUCUUGGGAGGUUCGACCUCGGCUGCACUGCUCCGCAGAGCACCGUAACCGCCGCCCUGGCACGGGUCCGGAGACUGCCGGCGCCUCGGGUCAGUAGCG